UUGUGUCCUGGCAAUAUCACAAGAACCAUAACUGAUGAACGGUGAAAGUGAAAAUCGUCAAUAUCAAAUUUGACCUGCAUUUUGUCAUCAGUAUCAACAUAUUAAAAAUUUGAAAGAGCUUAGGUUGAAUGGUUCAUGAGUAAAUGCAACAACAUGAAUGGAAACGCCAUUUUUUUAUCUUUCAAGAACCAUAACUCCUGAACGGUAAAAGUCAAAAUCAACAUUAUUUAACUUGAC
rnacentral:lncRNA from 1 species